rnacentral:rRNA from 1 species
GACGAACGCUGGCGGCGUGCUUAACACAUGCAAGUCGAACGGAAAGGCCCUGCUUUUGUGGGGUGCUCGAGUGGCGAACGGGUGAGUAACACGUGAGUAACCUGCCCUUGACUUUGGGAUAACUUCAGGAAACUGGGGCUAAUACCGGAUAGGAGCUCCUGCUGCAUGGUGGGGGUUGGAAAGUUUCGGCGGUUGGGGAUGGACUCGCGGCUUAUCAGCUUGUUGGUGGGGUAGUGGCUUACCAAGGCUUUGACGGGUAGCCGGCCUGAGAGGGUGACCGGCCACAUUGGGACUGAAAUACGGCCCAGACUCCUACGGGAGGCAGCAGUGGGGAAUAUUGCACAAUGGGCGGAAGCCUGAUGCAGCAACGCCGCGUGCGGGAUGACGGCCUUCGGGUUGUAACCGCUUUCGCCUGUGACGAAGCGUGAGUGACGGUAAUGGGUAAAGAAGCACCGGCUAACUACGUG